rnacentral:rRNA from 1 species
UACAGAGGCCUCGAGCGUUAGGCGGAAUCACUGGGCUUAAAGCGUGUGUAGGCGGACCCCUAAGUGCCUUGUGAAAUCCCACGGCUCACCCGUGGAACGGCUGGGCAUACUGGGGGGUCUUGAGCCACCUAGGGGCUACCGGAACAAAUGGUGGAGCGGUGAAAAUGCGUAGAUAUCAUUUUGGAACGCCAACGGGAGAAAAUCAGGGUAGCUGGGGGGG